CCGCGCCACCUGGCGGCCCAGAGGUCCGCACAUCCCGUCACCUGGCAGUCCGGAGGUCCGCACACCGCGUCACCUGGCGGCCGGGAGGACCCACCCUCGCUACCUGGCGGCCCGGAGGAUACACCCUCGCCGCCUGGCGGAAGACCGAAGAGUUUUCGACUCAAAGAUCUUACUGGCAAAAGGAGAAAGCAGGCUAUCCUGGAUAGAGGGGAUGGUGAUACUAACUCUGCCUGGAUUCAAGCCCCUAUGAUCUGUAACAGAAACCUAUUGAAAACCAUGGCAGGUUUCACGCCUGGAACACAGAGACAGAGAGACAGAAACAGCUGCUGCUGAAAAGAGCAGAGAAAAAGACUGCCUUUGUGUUAGCAACAAAGGACACUGGAAGACUUUACCUGGUGUAGCAGGGAGAAGGGAGCCUGCUGAAAAGCUGGGAGGAGCUUGGAACUUAAUCUUUAAGGCUACAUAUCUGUUGCAAGUGAUGUGUAAAAUAAAAACCUGUCAUAAAUGA